rnacentral:rRNA from 1 species
UUUACAUUGAAUGUGCGCAGCACGAUAUUCCUAACUACAAUGAAACCCCGUGAUCUUAGAUAUUCCACUUUCAGAUAUAUCUCCCCUUGACGGUGACGCCGUGUAAUAACAUAUCUAGCUUGGAAUUUUUUUUUGAAGGUCCCGGCUUUAUGGCUUUAAGACGCCGGAAUGUAUGUUUGACGUAUUUUGGCUAUUCCCGAUAAGAGGCAAAACUAAACCUUUUUAAUCUCUGAACGGAUACUUUCCUACCCCCAAAACAGGAGAGUCCUGAUUAACUGAAUGAGUUACUGCGGGGAUAACAGCGUAAUCUUCCUUGAUAGUUCUUAUAGAUGGGCGGGUUUGCGACCUCGAUGUUGGCUCUGGGUAUCCUGAGGCAUGCAGGCGGUCUCAAGGGUUGGUUCGUUCGCCCAUUAAAACCCGACGUGAUCU